AUUAACCUUUAUUAAAUUCGAAUCUAAAGACACGUGGAUGGAAAUUCAAAUUCGUAGGCGUUACGUUUUGGCUGUCGGUCAGGAAUCGGGAUGCAUUGAUAAGUGAAUAUUAUAGAUUUUCUUGAACAAAAAGGUAGUUAAAGUGUUGGACAUGCUCUCAAAGGUCGGAGGGACGGAAACACGUGAAUAUGUAAAAAGAAACACAUGAAAUGAAAAUGAUGUCACACAAACGCUACAUAUCAUCCGGACAGACGAGGGGUGCUGAAAGAAGGUCAUAUCUUAAAGCAUCACACCUCAAAAUUCGUGCUAAUUCUCAUGGAUGUCUAAAAGUAUAACUUUGUGAAGUAACUAAAAGGCAGCAAUUUAUACAUUACUGACAAUUAUCAAAGGAGGUCAAAAUAUGCAAAAUGGCACUAAAUGUUUUAGAAAUGCUGUAGAAAUAUAGUUAAAGUACUGAAAAUCUGUCAUAAAUUGCUUGAAACAUUAUUAUCAGAAUCUUUUAACUUUUCUUAAAAUUAUAAUAUUUUCAUUGUUUUAUUUGAUAAGGCAAACUUUGAUAGAAAUGUGCAUACAUUGUUUUGUUCUUUAAUAUUUGUACAUGUUUUCUUAGUUUCAUUUAUGUCAUUGUUUUUGUAAUACUUUUUGUUUUGUAAUUAACUUAUUUUAUGUUUUAUUUUGUUUAAUUUAUGAAAAUUAUUUAACCUUGCAGAAUUUACUAAAAUUGUAUGUAUCAGCUUAAAAUUGCAACUUUUAUCUUAAAUUAAAAAAGCAUGAAACAUAUUUUUGCCUUUUAGUUUUCUGU